rnacentral:rRNA from 1 species
AUACGGAGGGGGCUAGCGUUGUUCGGAAUUACUGGGCGUAAAGCUCGCGUAGGCGGAUUGAUCAGUCAGGGGUGAAAUCCCGGAGCUUAACUCCGGAACUGCCUUUGAUACUGUCAAUCUUGAGUUCGAGAGAGGUGAGUGGAAUUCCUAGUGUAGAGGUGAAAUUCGUAGAUAUUAGGAAGAACACCAGUGGCGAAGGCGGCUCACUGGCUCGAUACUGACGCUGAGGUGCGAAAGCGUGGGGAGCAAACAGGAUUAGAAACCCUAGUAGUCC